AACACAUAAAAAAGAUUUCUAAAAAAAUCAAAAAGGCUUUCAGAGGAUAUCCAUGGCAUAAUCCUCAAGCAUAUGGCAUUUCUUCUGUAGUUUAUUCCAUCAAACUUAAAGCUCCUUAGUUUAUAUAACAGCAAAAUCCAUCAGCUGCAUGUAGCAAAAUGACGAGAUAGUUCAAUAAGCAAAUCAGUUAUAGGGCGCCUCUCGCUUGGCAGGUACGUGCAUUAACUUAAUCUCAUUAAUAACCUGCCAAAGGAGAGUUGCCCUGUGACUGCUUCAGCUUAAUUCAGAUAAGUUGUCAGCUAUCAACAGUACUACAAGUGAAGGUAAUUAAGCUGCAAGUUUGCUAAGUAUUUCAAUUUGCUGCCUGGAUAUUGCGACUCUGCCAACGGCCGCUGAGGCAAAUUUGAUAGCAUCAGCUGGCCAAUUGUUUUUUUCUUUAUUUAUUCAGACCAAAGACUAUUUCUUUAAAUUAAUAUCAACUCGAUCGGCGACGAAAGGCUCCCAGGGAGCCAAGCGGAUUGGACAGAUGAGGCCAAGUGAUAGAUACAGACAGCUUGUUUGCUUGCAGUUGGAAGGAGAACGACAAAGUCCAUAUUUUACUUCCAUUUUAAUUUAGAAUUAAGUAAUGGGAAGCGUUAUUUUUUAAUGUAAAAUAUUUACUUAUUGUAUAUUUGAGACAAUUUCUAUAUCAUUGAAACCGCGCUCCAAGUGGGAAUUCUAAACUGAAUUCAAUCAGGAACUCGCUUUCUUUCUUUUCUUUCUUUUUUUUUUCCCCUUUUUUCAGCAGAAUUCAAAUGUAAAAAGAAUGGAAAAGUGAUGAUCAUAAUUCAAUACUAAAUGUCUCCUUGAUGA